rnacentral:rRNA from 1 species
UACAGAGGGUGCGAGCGUUGUCCGGAAUCACUGGGCGUAAAGGGCGCGUAGGUGGUGGCUUAAGCGUGCGGUGAAAGCUCGGAGCUCAACUCCGAGUCGGCCGUGCGAACUGGGCUCACUGGAGCAUAGUAGAGGCAGGUGGAAUUCCGGGUGUAGCGGUGGAAUGCGUAGAGAUGUGGAGGAAUACCGAUGGCGAAGGCAGCCCCCUGGGCUAACACUGACGCUCAGGCACGAAAGCGUGGGGAGCAAACAGG